rnacentral:piRNA from 1 species
UGCCCAAGAACACAAACAUAGAUCUGCUC